UGGCUCAGGAUGAACGCUAGCGGCAGGCCUAAUACAUGGCAAGUCGAACGGGAUUCGGAUAGCAAUAUCUGAUGAGAGUGGCGCACGGGUGCGUAACGCGUAUGCAACCUACCUUUAACAGGGGGAUAGCUCCGAGAAAUCGGGAUUAAUACCCCAUAGAAUCUUAAUGCUACCUGGUAUAAAGAUUAAAGCUCCGGCGGUUAAAGAUGGGCAUGCGUGCCAUUAGCUAGUUGGUGAGGUAACGGCUCACCAAGGCAACGAUGGCUAGGGGUUCUGAGAGGAUUAUCCCCCACACUGGUACUGAGACACGGACCAGACUCCUACGGGAGGCAGCAGUAAGGAAUAUUGGGCAAUGGACGCAAGUCUGACCCAGCCAUGCCGCGUG
rnacentral:rRNA from 1 species